rnacentral:rRNA from 1 species
AUUGAACGCUGGCGGCAGGCCUAACACAUGCAAGUCGAGCGAGCGGCGGACGGGUGAGUAAUGUAUGGGGAUCUGCCUGAUGGAGGGGGAUAACUCCUGGAAACGGUAGCUAAUACCGCAUACCAUCAGAUGAACCCAUAUGGGAUUAGCUGGUAGGUAAGGUAAGGGCUUACAUAGGCGACGAUCCCUAGCUGGUCUGAGAGGAUGAGCAGCCACUCUGUGACGGCGAUACUGCCCAGACGCCUACGUGAGGAAGCAGUGGGGAAUAUUGCACAAUGGGCGCAAGCCUGAUGCAGCCAUGCCGCGUGUAUGAAUAAGGCCUUCGGGUUGUAAAGUACUGUCAGUCGGGAGGCGUUACCGACAGAAGAAGCACCGGCUAACUCCGUGCCAGCAGCCGCGGUAAUUC